CGCUCCGCUCCCAAUCCUGGUCGCGGGGUUGCUGCGCCAGAGCCCACACCCGCACCAACCCUAGCCGCCACACCUCUCCUUCCUCCCUCACUCGACAGCGCCGCACCCCUUCCCUCCUUGCUGCUCUUCCGGAUAGCCGCCGGCCGCCGCAUCCCUUCUCCCCCUUCCUCCUUCCCGCUGGCGCCGACGAGCGCGACCACGCCCUCCUCCGGUCCUUCCUCCCCCCCGUAGCCAGGAGUCGAGCCCUCGUCACGAGGAAGCCACGGGAGGAGGAGCUCAACCGGGCGUCGCUGGCCGGAGAAGGAGGAGAGUCGCGGAUGCCUGCCAAGGAGGCGGAUCGGCUCGCCUCCGUCAUCAAUACAGCCUCCGCGCCACCACCCUUCUCCGGUCCUUACUCCCCCCCUCCCCCCCCCCCAGCCCCAAAAGCUCUACCGGUUCUUUCGGCGAGAUCCACCGUCUCCUGAGGUCCUUAUCCAUCCCAGCUCGUGAGGAAGCCUCGGGAGGAGGCGAGUCCUCAUCGCGAGGAAGCCGCGGAAGGAGGAGCUCAACCGGGCGUCGCCGGACAGAGAAGGAGGAGAGGCGCGGAUGCCUGCCAGGGAGGCGGAUCGGCUCGUCUCCGCGGCUGGAAAGGGCUCGGUGUUACAAUUACAACAUGGGGCUUCAAGUGUCUAUUACUAUGGAACACCAAUAUCCGUGCAUUUUAGUUACGACUAAGUGCCACACCAAUGAAUGUGAAUGUCUGUUCAGGUAAUAAGUAUCACGAUUAGCAAUUUCGGUUUGUCCCCAUAGUCUAUGUGUGUCCCAUGUCCUUUCAGCACCUUCUGCUAUUUUCCUGCAUUUUUCUUCCCUUCUGCUGCAGAUUAAAUGACUGAAAGCAAACAAAUAGUUAUUCUGGACUAUUCAGAUUAUCAAGUACAGUAUACUGCAACAUAUCAGCUUCUUAAAUUUCUGUUGCAACCUAGCAUAUACCAGCAUAAAAAAGUUUCUUUUGCUCAUCAUGUAUAUUAUGUUCCUCUAAAUCACGUGUACCAUUUUCAGGUAUUAAUAGUGCAGUACUACAUGAAGGCAAUAUGUUAGCAUAUUAGUGUCCAUCUUGGUUCUGGUGAAUUGAUUUGGGAACUCUUGAAAUCUGUUUCUUGUAUAUUGGCCAUGAUAACUCUUCACCUGACAUUCUGCAAUGGCUUCCAGCCAGGGUUUUCUUGUUGCUGCUAUUCCUCGUGGAUAUUCAAGAGGCAACUUGGCACCUAAUGUCAACAGCAUGCUUAUUGGUGACGAGUGAAAUGAAAGAAGGCUGCAAUGGAAUUUGUAUUAGAAGUUUCUCCAUGAUGGCCUUUUCCACCUAGAAAGAGCAUCAAGGCCAUUGACCCCGUUUUUGUUCUAUAGGCAUCUGUUCUUCAAAUGAGGCUCCAACAUGAGCAAGGGCAUGGUUUGCAGAUGAUGUAUCUACUUUAUGUGUGUCAAAAGAGCCCUCCGACGCCCAGCCGCUGGUGUCUCUGCCCGAAGAAGGAUCAUGGUUCCCCACCUCUCUACAACUCAUAUUAAAAUUUUGGUAUAUUCUUUUCUUACUUUAUUUCCCGUGAACAAAAAGUUGGAACCUAUUCUUAAUUUCCCAUAGUGGUUUUGAUGGUAUUUGGUCAGUGUGUUCCUGGCUGGAAUUGCAUGUAUAUCUUACAUAUUUAAAUUGCAACAAUUAAUAAGGAGAAUAGAAGCAUUUGCAUCGUCUAA